UACGUAGGGGGCUAGCGUUGUCCGGAAUCAUUGGGCGUAAAGAGCGUGUAGGCGGCCCGGUAAGUCCGCUGUGAAAGUCGGGGGCUCAACCCUCGAAUGCCGGUGGAUACUGUCGGGCUAGAGUGCGGAAGAGGCGAGUGGAAUUCCUGGUGUAGCGGUGAAAUGCGCAGAUAUCAGGAGGAACACCGAUUGCGAAGGCAGCUCGCUGGGACGGUGACUGGACGCUGGAGCACGCGAAAGCGUGGGGAGCGAACAGG
rnacentral:rRNA from 1 species